rnacentral:rRNA from 1 species
GUUUAUUUGGAGUUGUAAAUAAUUUGGCCUGCCCCCUGAUUAUAAUAGUUAAAUGGCCGCAGUAUUAUAACUGUGCAAAGGUAGCAUAAUCAUUAGGUUUUUAAUUAGAAUCUUGUAUGAAUGGUCGGACAAGAGAAAAGCUCUCUUUAUAUUAGAUUUUGAAUUUAACUUUUAAGUGAAAAGGCUUAAAUAGACUAAAGGGACGAUAAGACCCUAUAAAACUUUAUAUUAUAAUUUUAUUUUAGAAAAUUUAUAAAUAAAAAUUAAAUUUAAUUAUUUAUUAGGCUGGGGAGGCACAAAUAAAAUAUUAUUUUAACUGUUUGAUAAUUAUACAAUUAUUAAUGAAUAAGUAAAGGAUCCUUUUUAAAGAUUAAUAAAUUAAGUUACUUUAGGGAUAACAGCGUAAUUUCUUUUGAGAGUUCUUAUCGAAAAGGAGGAUUGCGACCUCGAUGUUGAAUUAAAUAUUCUAUAUAAUGAAGAGGUUAUAUAAGAAGGUCUGUUCGACCUUUAAAAUUUUACAUGAUUUGAGUUCAAACCGGUGUCAG